rnacentral:piRNA from 1 species
UGGAGCUUACAGUCUAAUUAAUUACCCUCCC